rnacentral:rRNA from 1 species
UACGUAGGGGGCGAGCGUUAUCCGGAUUCAUUGGGCGUAAAGCGCGCGUAGGCGGCCGCCUAAGCGGAACCUCUAACCCCGGGGCUCAACCUCGGGCCGGGUUCCGGACUGGGCGGCUCGAGUGCGGUAGAGGAGAGCGGAAUUCCCGGUGUAGCGGUGGAAUGCGCAGAUAUCGGGAAGAACACCGAUGGCGAAGGCAGCUCUCUGGGCCGUCACUGACGCUGAGGCACGAAAGCGUGGGGAGCAAACAGG